rnacentral:rRNA from 1 species
UACGUAGGGUGCAAGCGUUAAUCGGAAUUACUGGGCGUAAAGCGUGCGCAGGCGGUUCUGCAAGACAGAUGUGAAAUCCCCGGGCUCAACCUGGGAACUGCAUUUGUGACUGCAGGGCUGGAGUGCGGCAGAGGGGGAUGGAAUUCCGCGUGUAGCAGUGAAAUGCGUAGAUAUGCGGAGGAACACCGAUGGCGAAGGCAAUCCCCUGGGCCUGCACUGACGCUCAUGCACGAAAGCGUGGGGAGCAAACAGG